rnacentral:rRNA from 1 species
AGACAGAAGAGAAAAAGGACGUUAAACGCAACGAAACGCCAUAAGUUAGGUGCGUAAAUCCUAAGAACUAUGGAUAUCCUGUAAGGAAACUCAAAAACGAGACUCUACCUAGUGAACUGAAACAUCUAAGUAACUAGAGGAACUCAAAUCAACCGAGACUCCGUAAGUAGUGGUGAGCGAAAACGGAUUAGGCCUUCAUUGUUUUUUAAUUUUACAAGUUGAAGCUGUUUGGAAAAACGCGCCAAAGAGAGUGAUAGCCCUGUAAACUCAAGGAAAUUAAGAAAAAAAUGGAUUCUAGAAUUUACUAAAAUUUUGGAUUAAGAGUAAAACGAAGACCUUCUUUGUUUGAAUUUAAGGGGGACCACCCUCUAAGCCUAAGUAUACUCUUCUGAUCGAUAGUGAACAAGUACCGUGAGGGAAAGGUGAAAAAGAUCCCUAAAGAGGGAGUGAAAAAGAUCCUGAAACUGAAUGCUUACAAGCAGUCGAAGCUUUUUUGAAAAGUUACGGCGUACCUUUUGCAUAAUGGGUCAGCGAGUAAAUUUAUGAAGCAAGCCUAAGCUCUUAAGUGGAGGCGGAGUGAAUGCAAGCUUGAAAAGAGCCCUAAGUUUCUUAAAUUUGACCCGAAACCAAGCGAUCUAAUCAUGAGCAGGUUGAAAAAAUGAUAAUACGUUUUGGAGGACCGAACCCACAUCUGUGGCAAUAGAUGGGGAUGACUUGUGAUUAUGGGGUGAAAAGCCAAUCGAGCUUGGAAAUAGCUGGUUUUCUGCGAAAUCUAUUGAGGUAGAGCGUAUACAUUUACAGUAAAAAGGAGGUAGAGCACUCGCUGGGUGAUGGUGGCCCAAAACCUUACUGAUCCCAUGGAAACUCCGAAUACCUUUUUACCUGAUAUACAGACAGACUAGAGGCGCUAAGGUCUCUAGUCAAAAGGGAAACAACCCAGAUCGAACGCUAAGGUUCCUAAACACUUUCUGAGUGGCAAAGGAAGUUUCUAGGCUAAAACAACCAGGAGGUAGGCUUGGAAGCAGCCAUCCUUUGAAGAAAGCGUAAUAGCUCACUGGUCUAUGUCUAGGAGCACCUAAAAUUCAUCGGAGCUCAAGAAAUUUACCGAAGCGGCGAUUUUCCUAAGUUUUUUUUAAGAACAUGGAAAAGGUAGCAGAACGUUCUGUAAAUCACAGAUGUUUCAUUGUUAAAUGAAAUGGAGAUAUCAGAAGUGAGAAUGCUGACAUGAGUAACGACAAAUCAUGUGAAAAUCAUGAUAGCCGAAAGUCCUAGGUUUUCUACAGACCGUAUCUCGGUGUAGAGUGAAUCGGCCCCUAAGAGAAAAGCGAAAGCAUAUUCUUAAUGGGUACAAUGAUGAAAAUUCAUUGAUGUAUCAUUUAAUGACGGCUCAGAGAAUGUCCUUCAAGGAAACGGAUACCUUGAAAUCAGGUCAUCACUGAGCCCAGGAAACAAUGAAAUGAUUUUUGAAUUUUCAAAAACCAAACACCGUACUUAAACCGACACAGGUGGACUCGUUGUAAAAACUAAGGCUAAGAGAGAAUCAUGUUGAAGGAACUCGGCAAAUUACCUCCGUAACUUCGGAAUAAGGAGGACAUCACAAGCACAAAUUGGAAUACACUUUGUGUUUGCUAUGUGUCACAAAAUUGGGGGUGGCGACUGUUUACUAAAAACACAGGACUCUGCUAAGUGGUAACACGACGUAUAGGGUCUGACACCUGCCCGGUGCUGGAAACUUAACAGGAAGGGUGCAUCUCUCUCUCAAAGUUGUUCUAAUUUUGAGAAUCAGACAAGCUCUAAAUGCAAGGCCCAGUAAACGGCGGCCGUAACUCUGACGGUCCUAAGGUAGCGAAAUUCCUUGUCGGGUAACACACAAUUAAAUAUGAAGUUCCGACCUGCAUGAAUGGUGUCACGACUUCCCCACUGUCUCCAACAUGAUCUCAGUGAAAUUGAAUUCUCCGUGAAGAUGCGGAGUUCCCGAAAGUAGACGGUAAGACCCUAUGCACCUUUACUAUAAUUUAACAUUGAAAAAAGAGUCUGAAUGUGUAGAAUAGGUGGGAGAUUCUUGAUGUUUCACAUCAAGAAUCAUCAAUGAAAUACCACCCUUUCUUUCUCAUUUUUCUAACCUCGAAUUAAGAAAAAAUUUCUAAAUUUUAGAAAUUAAGGAACAGUGUUAAAUGGGUAGUUUGACUGGGGCGGUCGCUUCCUAAAGAGUAACGGAAGUGUGCGAAGGUAAGCUCAAGCUGGACGGAAAUCAGCUGAAGAGCGUAAUGGUAGAAGCUUGCCUGACUGUAAGACUUACAAGUCAAGCAGAGACGAAAGUCGGCCAUAGUGACCCGGGAGUUCUUGGUGGAAAGGCUCUCGAUCAACGGAUCAAAGGUACGCUAGGGAUAACAGGCUGAUGACUCCCAAGAGCUCUUAUCGACGGAGUCGUUUGGCACCUCGAUGUCGACUCAUCGCAUCCUCGAGCUGAAGAAGGUUCGAAGGGUUCGGCUGUUCGCCGAUGAAAGCGGUACGUGAGUUGGGUUUAGUACGUCGUGAGACAGUACGGAUCCUAUCUUUUUCGGGUGUAAAAAAUUGAGAGAACCAUUCCCUUGUACGAGAGGACCGGGAAUGACGAACCUCUAGUGUAUCAGUUGUUGCGCCAGCAGCAUCGCUGAGUAGCUACGUUCGGAACGUAGAACUGCUGAAAGCAUCUCAAGCAGGAAUUCGUUUCUCAAAACAAGUUUUUGAGUCGUAGAAGACUACUACGUGAUAGGUGAGGUGUGGAAUUCUAGUGAUAGAACAGCUAACUCAUACUAACUCAUUUAGAAACCCC